GCGGACGUAGCUCAGUUGGUAGAGCGCAACCUUGCCAAGGUUGAGGUCGCGAGUUCGAAUCUCGUCGUCCGCUCCG
rnacentral:tRNA from 1 species